GGCGCAUUUUGCUCCUGGGAGUGGGAGCGAAAAGACGCCAUAUGAUGUCUUCAACUAUAUUCGGAGAACAUUAGAAAAAGACUUCAAAACUGUUGUCGAGAUUAGUCCGGUUAUCUGGUUUGUAACCGUGCUAUUCCUCUUGACCAACUCCGAUGGAAUACAUUCUUACCUAUGAUUACCAUUCAUACCUUUGAUUGUGGUACUAAUAGUUGGAACAAAGCUUCAAGUCAUUAUAACCAAAUUGGGUCUAAGAAUUCAAGAGAAGAGUGAUGUGGUGAGAGGCGCCCCUGUGGUUCAGCCUGGUGAUGAUCUCUUCUGGUUUGACAACCCCAACGUCAUGCUUUUCCUUAUCCAUUUGGUUCUUUUCAUUGUACAACGACUCAAUAUCCCGGUUAAUCCUCUUUCGGUUUUUCUUUCUCCUUGGUAAUAAACCUAUGAUUACUAAAAACCCUUCACUUUGCAGAAUGCAUUUCAA